GUCUAAAACGACUCUCGACAACGGAUAUCUCGGCUCUUGCAUCGAUGAAGAACGUAGCGAAAUGCGAUACUUGGUGUGAAUUGCAGAAUCCCGUGAACCAUCGAGUCUUUGAACGCAAGUUGCGCCCGAAGCCAUUAGGUUGAGGGCACGCCUGCCUGGGUGUCACUAA
rnacentral:rRNA from 8 species